UGGCUCAGUUGGUAGAGCAUGGUGUUUGCAACGCCAGGGUUGUGGGUUCAUUUCCCAC
rfam:Salmo salar isolate Sally breed double haploid chromosome ssa19, whole genome shotgun sequence.